GUUAAGUGACUAAGCGUAUACGGUGGAUGCCUUGGCAGUUAGAGGCGAUGAAGGACGUGUAAGUCUGCGAAAAGCUGUGGUGAGCCGACAAAAUGCAUUUGAGCCACAGAUGUCCGAAUGGGGAAACCCACCUAUUUAUAGGUAUCGUUACAUGAAUAUAUAGUGUAACGAGGCGAACGAGGGGAACUGA
rnacentral:rRNA from 1 species